rnacentral:lncRNA from 1 species
AUUAAGGGAAGAAGCGGUGUCAGGAGAGUUUGAGGAAGGGGAAAUGGUGCUGGCCUCAGCCAGAUCAGAGAAUGCAUAAUGAUUCAUGGGAGAAGAAGGAGAGCCUGCAUUAGAAACAAUAGGAGAUAUAGGCUGAGUUGGAAUGGAAGAGGGGGGGUUUCAGCAAUGUGGGACUCAGCAGUAGAAGAAGAUGGCUGAGAGGAAGCAGUGGGUGAAACAUGCUGCAGUGGAGGAAUAUUAAAAAUAGGUAUAGGAGGAGAAGCAGAAGGA